AGAGGUAGAAAAUGGAGAUAUAGGGGCACAUGAGUGAGCUUAUUGCACACUGCAGACCAGUGCACUGGUUCCCAACCUUCUCCAUCCAGAGUCCACUUUAUGUGAUUUCAUGCCCCAGGCCUGCCAACAAGGGCCUGAUGGAGACCAUGGCAGAAGAGCCUGUUCUGUUUGGGCUGGCGACUUGACGGGUGUCUUAUGAUCUCAAACGAGAUUGGAAACUGGUCUGGAAUGACAGGAAUACACACUGCUAGGCAGCUACUCAGGACCUGGCUGCUGAAUGCCCUCACCGUGGUGCAUCAGACCCCACUGCUCAUGCCUGUAAGGAGGGCUCCAACCCUUUGGGGCGCCUCUCACCUCCGGUCCCAUGAUCUGUCCUCAGCCACCCUUCAGGAACUCCCUGUUCUUGAAUGUGUGCCAGCUGCUCCCAGAGAGUCUGAGAACCACACUAGACCUGCACUGCCUCGGCCAUGGCUUUCUUUCCACUGAAAAGAGGAUGGAAUCUUGUGAGGUACAACAGGGUAACUGAAAACAGGUUGAAGUGUUUGCAGCUUCAGUCACAAGUGGGAAAAAUUUCUAGUGUCCAUUUCUGAAUCAAAGAGUAGGGGGAACUGGUAAUGCAGCAGCCCAGUUGUUGAAUGGGAGAGCAAAUAAAUAAAGCAGCGCCUCCUCACGUUUCUACUUACUUUUGUGAUUUUAAAAGGACAAUAAAAUGUAGAGAUUAUAAAAUAGUAAAGGCAAGCUUUGUAAAGGCCUUCUCAACAUAAAAGACCUUUUACCAUCUUUCAUUCCGACCAGAGCUUAGCACAGGAAGCAGGAUGCGAGCAAGGCCGGAACCUCCCCUGGGAUUUCUGCUGAGACCGGGCUGAGCCACAGGUCAGAGGCGGGAAGUGCACCUCCACUGCCUGGAGAGGGGAGAACAGACCCCUCUGUCAGUUCCUGCUGAUAAUAAUGCAGCCUGCGUGGGCAGACGUUGCGCAUCCCCUGGCUGGAUAGAACACGUGUCUCAAUGCCUUGCUUGUUCUUCACUUUUGUGUAGCAUGUGGCUUGGCAGGCGAGAGGGGAUUAGGAGGCCUGUUGACAGAAAUCCUGGUAGAAUUCCAUGUUUGAGAAACCCAUCCAAAGGUGAUAGCUUUGGGGCUUCAUUAGGGUGGUUAUCAGAUCCAGAAAUGUUUUCCAGAGUGUGGACCCCUCCCUCCACGUACCUGUUCCUAUCUCUCUAAUCUCAUGAAAGUGGGGGAAGGGCUAGAAACUCUUUCUCAAAAGAGACUUCCGAGAAAUAGCUCCCAGACUAAACACUUUGCUCUGUGUUCACUUAUGUACUUGUUUUCCAAAAUCUGCCAAUUAAAAGAAAGAAAAUUGUAUGUGUUCAGACAAGUAGGGACACACAGGCUGAUGGGGUCAGAGGGCCACUGAUGCUGAGGUUGCUUAGAGACUGGGAAGGUGGCUUAGGAUGGGGUGAGCCCCUGCUUCUCAGGGGUGCUGGCCUGGCCUAUUUACUCCAGAACACUUAGGCCCAUAGAGGCCAGGAUUUUGGGGCCGCUGUGACAAAUAGCCUUGGGAAGGUCAUGCAGAUGCAUCAGUGGCAUGCAAAACCUGCCGUGAGUCUUGGAUAUAGUUGGUCUUCAAAAUAUGAUUCCUGAACAUAUACCAUUGCCUUUUAGUGGGCUUUUUGUUUUUUUUAACCAAUGCAGAACUAUGCCUUUGUUUCAUUCAUUCAUACAUAUGGCAUACAUGAAAGAAUAGGUGUCUUACUCUAUCUUGCUCCUAAUAUUGAGUCAGAGGAACUCCGAGGACAAGGUCUCUCAAAAGAGUGGUUCCCCCAGGUUCAUGGACAUAUUAUUUCUGUGCACAAAAUGAAUUAAUGAAUGUGCCUAAGACAAGGCCAGCCAUCUAGAGAGUAUUACCUUGUUCCUCAUAAGCUUCCUUUUGACUUUUGAAAAACAUGCUGCUUGUCUAGUAAGCAGUAAGUACUCACUCUCCUCUACAAAGGAAGCUAUAAAAACUGACUAGCCUCAAGGUGAUUUUUCCCUCUCUUGCCCUGGGAAUACAAGCUCCUUUAUCUCAAACAUCUCUGGUCAGUUGAGGCUCACUUGAUGUGCUGUAGCAGGGAGAGGUCAGGGCUGGAGAUGUAAUGUUGGAAAUCAUUAGUGGUUUUAAAGCCAUGAGAUGGGUGAGAUCACCAGGGGGAGUAGAUACAGAGAGAAAAGAGAAGAGGUCUAAAGUCCAGGGGCACUGUAACACUAAGUAUUUGGGGAGGUGGGAAGAAACAAACAAAGGAGACCAGGAAGGAGUGGUCAGAGAAGUAGGUGCAAAAUGAGGCACGUGGGGUGUCAUGGAAGCCAGAGGAAGAUAAUAUUUCAAGGACGCUGGAGGGGUCAACAGUGAGGAAUGUUGCUGAGAGAUGUAGUCAGCUAAGGGUAAGCUCUGCCACUUUUUUAACAAUGUGAAGUUGUUGGUGACCUUGGAAAGGGCAUAUUUUGGUGGAGAGGUGGUGGUGAAAGCUUGAUUGGCCUGGGCUCUAAAGAUUCAUUCAUCUCUGUUGCUCCAUGAAGUGAAACAAAACAAGAGCAUCAGCAACCUCCAGUCAGGGCUGAUGAUACCCCGUCCUGCCUGUAUUAUCUCCCCUAACAUCCUCUCGGGAAUUUUCUACACAUGCCUUAGUUGAUGGACAUACGGACCAAGUUCCAACUAUGUCACCAAAUUUUGGGAUUGUAGCGGUUAUUGCAAGUGUUUAAAAUUAAAGCCUCAGCCUUUAGGUAGGACCAUACACGGUUUAAAUAGGAAGGUGCCCCUUACAGAUAAUUGCAACUGAGUCUCCCUAUUUUACAUAUUGGGAAGCUGAGGCUCAGAUCUGGGAGAUGACUCAUUGAAGGUCAUACAACCGCUCUGAGGCAUUGCCCCCUUUCUUCCUCCCAAAUGUACCUGGUGGAUGAGAACCUGUACUUUUAAAAAAGAUUACUGGGGGACAGAUCUCCUAUUUCUUUCAUUUCCUUCAG
rnacentral:lncRNA from 1 species